rnacentral:misc_RNA from 1 species
UACGGAAGGCCCGAGCGUUAAUCGGAAUCACUGGGCUUAAAGGGUGCGCAGGCGGAUUGGCAGGCAUCUUGUGAAAGCCCCCGGCUCAACCGGGGAACUGCAGGGUGAACCGCCAGUCUUGAGGAAGGUAGGGGCCAGUGGAACCAUGGGUGGAGCGGUGAAAUGUAUAGAUAUCCAUGGGAACGCCAAUGGCGAAGGCAGCUGGCUGGGCCUUUCCUGACGCUCAGGCACGAAAGCGUGGGGAGCGAACGGG